rnacentral:rRNA from 1 species
AGCUCCAAGAGCGUAUAUUAAAGUUGCUGCGGUUAAAAAGCUCGUAGUUGGAUUUCAGUCUAGGAAGGUUAACUCGCCGAAAGGUUGUACGUUGAUUUUCCUCAGACUUCGUCAGAAGCUCGUGCUGCACUUAACUGUGUGGUACGAUGUUCUGACCUUUUACCUUGAGGAAAGUAGAGUGUUUCAGGCAGGCUACCCAGCUUGAAUACAUUAGCAUGGAAUAAUGAAAUGGAUCUCGGUUCGAUUUCGUUGGUUCUAGAGCUGAGGUGAUGAUCAAUAGGAACAGGCGAAGGUAUUCGUACUUGAGAGUGAGGAGUGAAAUCCGAUGAUCUCUUAAAGACGAUCCGAGGCGAAAGCAUUUGUCAAGGAUGUUUUCAUUG